GCCCAUGGAAAAAGAAACGUAGAUAUAUAAAUGAAACUGAAAUAGAUACAGUAUGUGAAAAACAGAGUUUCGAAUUUAUAUUACGGCCUCAAGAUAUGUCACGACCUGCUUCUGAAUGCUGCCAGAAGACAUCGUAUUGUAUUCGAUCCGACACCACUUUUAUCACUUCCAAAAGUGCAAUCCCAACAAAUAUUAAACAGAGAUCUAAAAGUUUAAUGGGUAUAUCGAAAACAAAGAAUGAAUUUGAAAAUGAUAUAAUUAUUACAAAUUACGACGUCAGCCAAUGUUACAAAAGUCAAAAGAGUGAAGAAAGAUUUAGAAUUGAUCUUAAAUCUCCACCAAUGA